rnacentral:rRNA from 1 species
GAUGAACGCUGGCGGCGUGCCUAAUUCAUGCAAGUCGAGCGAACGGACGAGAAGCUUGCUUCUCUGAUGUUAGCGGCGGACGGGUGAGUAACACGUGGAUAACCUACCUAUAAGACUGGGAUAACUUCGGGAAACCGGAGCUAAUACCGGAUAAUAUUAUGAACCGCAUGGUUCAAAAGUGAAAGACGGUCUUGCUGUCACUUAUAGAUGGAUCCGCGCUGCAUUAGCUAGUUGGUAAGGUAACGGCUUACCAAGGCAACGAUGCAUAGCCGACCUGAGAGGGUGAUCGGCCACACUGGAACUGAGACACGGUCCAGACUCCUACGGGAGGCAGCAGUAGGGAAUCUUCCGCAAUGGGCGAAAGCCUGACGGAGCAACGCCGCGUGAGUGAUGAAGGUCUUCGGAUCGUAAAACUCUGUUAUUAGGGAAGAACAUAUGUGUAAGUAACUGUGCACAUCUUGACGGUACCUAAUCAGAAAGCCACGGCUAACUACGUG